GAAGGCUUUCUGAGGUGCCACCUUGACAAACGACCUGGCUGAAAGCAGAGAGUGGGCUUUGACCUGUAACGCUUAGGCAGUUUGUAUUUGCAGUUAGGGCUUGAAUUUGUGUUAAUAAACUCUGGGAAUGUUAAUUGCUCUGAGGCCCUGACAGACACACAGCCCUGCCCUGCCCGGCCCGGCCCGACUCUUUUCCUUUAGAAUGACCUCUUGCUGUUUAUACAUGAAACCUAUUCAAGUGAUUUGUAAAUGAAUCUGUCUGGUUUUUAUGUAUCUUUAAGCUGCUUAAUAAGACCGUAGAUGUUCCAAUUAUUGUAUGUGCCAUAGAUUAUUUUUAAAGGUUCAUUACAUUUAUAUUAACAGGUAACAGACACAAACUAUAGGUACAAGCGAUGUGUCCUUGAAGAUAUCAAUCCCAGUUCAACACUGGGUAACACAGAAUGGAAUACUAAUCCAUCUAUACCAGGAGGAUACGUCUAACAUUCCGUAUGACGUUACACUGGAAACUAGAAGAUCCAAAUUUAGUGCUGAUUCGGUUCACAGAGAUCCCUCUGGAGGUUUUGGAAAGUAACUCAUAAAACAUCUAUUUGGUUGUGUCACUGAAUUUGUGUGUGAGGUUAGUUUUGUUAGCUGCUGACAACAGGAAUGUGCGUGAAUGUUUUUUCUCCCCACAGUAGGAAAUCUCUGGGGCAAUGCAUCAGACUCUGGAGGGGAGACUUCACUGUUUGCUUUAGACACAUUCCAACCAUUCCAGGUCUACUGCAUAACUCACUGAGGUCUGGUCUUUGUCUGUCUGUGUGUGUGUGUGUGUGUGUGUGUGUGUGUGUGUGUGUGUGUUAGUGGUGCUGAGGGAUUAAUAUGUCUUAAUAAACAGAGUAUUGUGUAGUAUAAUUAACUUUGUGUGGAAAGUGAACACACCCUUUUUUAAAAUCAUAGUAAGGUCUCUUUUCAUUAGAAAUGAAUGUCAGUGGUGAAAGCGUCAUGUCACUGCUUUUAAUAAUGAUCUGUCUUGAUGUGGCCUAAUCACAUGACAUGACCUGCUUUUAAUUUAAACAGCUAUUCAUGUUCCUUUGACACUUAUUUAAGUUUUGGUCCUAAAAAUAAAUCACCUUCAUGUCGCCCAUAUCUAUAUUCAGAACUAUUAAAAUCAUUAAAUUACA